AUUGAACGCUGGCGGCAGGCCUAACACAUGCAAGUCGAACGGUAACAGGAAGCAGCUUGCUGCUUUGCUGACGAGUGGCGGACGGGUGAGUAAUGUCUGGGAAACUGCCCGAUGGAGGGGGAUAACUACUGGAAACGGUAGCUAAUACCGCAUAACGUCGCAAGACCAAAGAGGGGGACCUUAGGGCCUCUUGCCAUCGGAUGUGCCCAGAUGGGCAUAGCUAGUAGGUGGGGUAACGACUCACCUAGUCGACGAUCUGUAGCUGGUCUGAGAGUAUGACAGGCCACACUAGAACUGGAACACGGUCCAGACGCCUACGGGAGGCAGCAGUGGGGAAUAUUGCACAAUGGUCGCAAGCCUGGUGCAGCCAUGGCGCGUGUAUGAAGAAGGCGUUCGGGGUGUAAAGUACGUUCAGCGGGGAGGAAGGGAGUAAAGUUAAUACCUUGGCUCAUUGACGUUACCCGCAGAAGAAGCACCGGCUAACUCCGUG
rnacentral:rRNA from 1 species